rnacentral:misc_RNA from 1 species
GAAAGAUUGGGCUCAUCAUCAAGGUCAUGCAACCUGCUCACAUGCACAAGCAAAGGACAAGCAAACAUGACAUAUGUUAAAAUGUCUGAAUCACUUGAAGAUUCUGGUGGUGAAAGUACUCAAACAACAUGGAAUGUUUGUGGUUCAGGCAGUAUUUUGUUCUGUAAGGUAGAUGCAGAUGAAAGCUAUGCAUUGUUUGGUGGGAAGGGUGUUGAGGUUAAUAUCUGGGAUCUGAGCCAGUGUGCUAAAGUUUGGUCUGCAAAAUCUCCAGCCAAAAACAGCCUCGGCAUAUUCACCCCAACUUGGUUUACAUCUGCAACUUUCUUAUGCAAAGAUGAUCACCGCAAAUUUGUUGCAGGCACUAAUAGUCACCAGGUGCGUCUUUAUGAUAUUUCUGCUCAGAGAAGGCCAGUUGUUUCAUUUGAUUUUCGUGAGACCCCUAUUAAAGCUGUGGCAGAGG